ACAGAAGGUUUUAUAAUCUUGUAAGAGAAGUUUGAAGAUCAGAGUCUUUGUUUCCUUUCCCAUCCUAACCCUUAGCAAAUGGGAAUAUUUAGGAGGAAUGUUUGUUCAAGACCCUCAGGGUCAAAAGAUGCUUUUUUGGAUUUGGGGACUGAACAAUUUUAUAAUUACUACAUUAUUCAUUAAACUACCUUCUGUACUGAAAUUUAGCAUAGCAACACUAUUGUUUGCAAUAGGAAUUUCUUAAGCAGGCCAUCUACAGAAGAAAUGGGGUAGGAGGAAAAUUGUAGGAGACAACCAGAGUGGUUCUUGGGGAAGUGUGAGAAGAAUCAAGAAGUCCUCUUCACUUGGCUCCUGUUACUCAAGAAGAUCCUUCAUGGAAUGAGAAAAAUCAAGCGUGGCUUCUCAAGUGAAGGAAGUGGAGAGUUUUCUACUAGCAGACUAUAGUUUGAAGGAACACAGUUAUGAAAAAGAGGUUCAUUCAUUUCCCCUCCUUUCCUGGAAAGGCUUCCUACUUCAAGACCCAAUUCAAAUACCAUCUACUUCAUGGAGAUUUUCCACCUUACUUUUGCCCUUAUUGUUUUUCU